rnacentral:lncRNA from 1 species
ACAUAUAUCUAUACAUCUUACCAUUGAUGAUCAGCAUAUUUUACAAUUUACACCAUCUUUUGCAAUGCAUGCUUCAAUCAAAGGCACAAUUUCAGGCUCACUCAGUAGGCACAGUUUUUGUGAGCUUCAGCAAACAGUUUUCCCGGUUGCUUUAUCACACUAGCAGGACAAUUUAAUUCCUAUAUAUACAAAAACACAUGAACUAACAUCAACAUUUCAUUACCGAAAUAAUAAUAACAAUAAGGCUUAACUACACAUUUAGUCACUUACGUUUAUUUUAGGUUUCAAUUUGGUCCCUUACGUUUACAAAGUAUCAAUUUGGUCCCUUACGUUUAUUUUAGAUUUCAAGUUAGUCCUUUCGUCAAUUUUGUCACAUGUGGCAGCCAAUUUGCUUAUGUGGACAAACACGUGGCACUUGGACACACUGACACGUGUACUAGUGUUAGUGACAAAACUAACAGAAAGGACUAACUUGAAACCUAAAAUAAACGUAAAGGACCAAAUUGAUACUUUUUAAACGUAAGAGACCAAACUGAAACUUAAAAUAAACGUAAGGGACUAAAUGUAUAGUUAAGCCUAACAAUAAAAAAAUGCAAACCCAGAAGUAUAAAUUGUAGCCUUAAUCUCGGAAUUGUGAAUUGAUAAACUUACAAUGAACAUGGUGGAGGAUGUAGAUUGUGUUUAACUGAAUGAAAGUGUUGGCUUGCUCUUCAGCUAUGGUAACAAACUAGGGUUAUGCUAAAGAGUAAAGACUAAAGACAGAAUUUUAAAACUAAGAAAAUAAAUUACAAGUCGAUUCAUUAUCCUCAAAGAGAGGCAGCAUUACAAAUAUAUAGCUAGGGUUUUUCCAUAGUGGAUCUAAUAGCAAUUGGGCCAUGGGCCUCUUGGAGGAAUUAGAAAAAUCAAUAGUAUUUGAAUGUUAUAUCUCUCAG